rnacentral:rRNA from 1 species
AACGAACGCUGGCGGCAUGCCUAACACAUGCAAGUCGAACGAGACCUUCGGGUCUAGUGGCGCACGGGUGCGUAACGCGUGGGAACCUGCCCUUAGGUUCGGAAUAACUCCCCGAAAGGGGUGCUAAUACCGGAUAAUGUCUUCGGACCAAAGAUUUAUCGCCUUUGGAUGGGCCCGCGUUUGAUUAGCUAGUUGGUAGGGUAAAAGCCUACCAAGGCGACGAUCCAGAGCUGGUCUGAGAGGAUGAUCAGCCACACUGGGACUGAGACACGGCCCAGACUCCUCCGGGAGGCAGCAGUGGGGAAUAUUGGACAAUGGGCGAAAGCCUGAUCCAGCAAUGCCGCGUGAGUGAUGAAGGCCUUAGGGUUGUAAAGCUCUUUUACCCGGGAUGAUAAUGACAGUACCGGGAGAAUAAGCUCCGGCUAACUCCGUG